CCGCGCUCCGCCUGCGGGGCUGCCCCCGGGACGGGGAGGCAGGGGCAAGGACGGCAAGCGGAACAACUUCUGCAAAUUGAAAACAGAAAAGAAAAAAAAUAAAAAAAAAAAGAGGCUUCUUCGUGGGACGUCUUCGAAGCUCAGUACCACGCGAGGCAUCCCAGCCGCAGUGAGACCCUCCAUGCUAGUGCCUCCCACCAGAGUGACAGGAGGGAAGCUGGCUGUGGCCGCUGUUCCCAAGCUCCGCUUGCGUUAGAGUCGCCUUGGCUUUCUGGCUGGAAGAUGGUUCCUGCGACAGGACCAUGGUGCUGAUGAUGAACAGCAGAGUGGUUGGAAGAUGCCUUCCUUGAGGAUUACACGUGGAACAAGGCCAUCAGUCGAGGGGAGAGCUGGCUGGUGAAACUGUCUGACUUUCCCCCCGCUGGGGAAGUGGCUUCAAUGGCUCCAUCUCCCCGGAGAAGCAGUAGGAAAGAUGCCAGCACCUUGCCAAGCAUGUCCUCAACUUUCUGGGCUAUCAUGAUCCUGGCUAGUCUCCUAAUCGCUUACUGCAAUUAUAACAGCUAUUUUGGAGCGGAUAACCCUCAAUGGCUGUAUAUGAGACAUUGCCCGGGGUGCCUCCAAGAUGCUUUUGAGCUGGGUCAGCUGGCUGCAGGAACGUGUGAGAUUGUUACUUUGGACAGAGAUAGCAGCCAGCCCCGAAGGACCAUAGCCCGACAAACAGCUCGCUGUGCGUGUAAAAAAGGACAGAUUGCCGGGACAACAAGAGCAAGGCCAGCAUGUGUUGAUGCACGAAUUAUCAAAACAAAACAGUGGUGUGAAAUGCUUCCAUGUUUAGAAGGAGAAGGCUGUGAUUUGCUAAUCAAUAAAUCAGGCUGGACCUGUACACAACCAGGAGGACGGAUAAAGACAACCACGCCUGUCUGAGGCCAUGUGGUUUGGAGAUCUGAUCACUAGUCCGAAAAGGAAAGGCUGUUUGCAAGAUUUCCGGGGUGUUUUUUCCUGGAAAAGGUCUCCUGACAAAUGCAGCAACGCAGAAUCCUCGUAGGAGUGGUUUAGGCUCUCUGUGAGCUACUUAACUUAGUCAAGUUACACUGCUGUUGAUCAUCAUCUGUUAUAUGUCAUCAACUCAACUGUCUGUUUCUCUGUAUCUCAUGAAUGACAGCAUAAUUCCUCUGCAUUAUGAGCUAAAGUUUGUUCUACCAUUCUAAGGAUCACUGGACUAAGGAAUAUAGAAAAAGAGAUAUGCUUGGGCAUUAGCAAUACAAAAAGUUCAUGGUUAACGUUUCAUCUGCGUUAUACACCACUGCUGGACUUGCUGUUACCUACAUGUUUCAAUCCGAAGAGUCUGCUACAAUGAAGAGUAUCAUCCCAAUCAGCCUUAGAGAAGACUGUUUUGCCUAUGGGAGGACACUGAGGUGCAAAAGAGAAACUCUUCUUGUGCCCUAAACUGUCUGAAUUGCUUUUAUUUUCUUAUACUUUCAGUAUUUACAAUAGACCAAAGAGCAAAAUCUAUUUUAAAGUGGACACAAUCUUACUCUUAAGAGAGUUAUGUCAUUAAAAUGAAGGUCUCCACAAAGACAUGAUUCCAGCUUUCACAAAGCUGAAAUGUUGUCCAGCAGAAGUCUUUAUGGAAAGCUGAAGUAAAAACUAACUCAGAGACCUGCUCUUGAAAUGCCAUGUUCAAGAGAACAUAACGGAGCACUGAGAAAAAAUGACCUAUGUUUGAAAACUUGGACAAAAAGAACACAAACUGUCUACACAGCACCUUUAUUCCUCUGUACUUAGAUUGACUUUCUCGUACUAAAAUCAUUUUCCGUUUUAACCAGUUAAACAUGCCUCUUCUACAGUUCCAUUUUUGAUAGUUAAAGUUGGAUAAUACAGUAUUUGCAAAGAGCAUGUUUGGUCAUCUGUGGCCUAUGUCUCAUCUGAUACACCAUUUAGCACCAGAAAGCAAAUUAAAGAGAAAACAAAAGUAACACUUGUUUGAAAGAGAUCAUUAAAUGUAUUUUGAAAAGCCUAAAGUUAUAUAUUUAACAGUUUUUAUAUGUUGUAUAUUUGUAGAAAAUCCUAUUUAACAAUUAACGUGAUAACUCUGACAGUCAUGAAAAGUGGUUCAGAGUUAAGUUGUGUUUUAUUACUUCAGUUGUCUCUGAAGUGACCGGUGUCGUUUGCUUUCUUCCAUUGGGACAUUCUGGAUGUAAAGCAUGACCAGAGAGGACUGUGUAGAAAAAGCAAAGAAUAAUGUUGUUUAUAUUACAUAAAUGCAUUCAACCAUUGCACUGUUGGAAGGCAUUUUUUAUUUUAAUUUUAUUUUUUUUUUGUCUUUAUGUACUGAUAAAAAUAGAGUGUAAAAUAUUUUACUCAUUGCUCUUCAUAGCAAGGUUUUCCUUCCUUCCUUCCUUCCUUCCUUCCUUCCUUCCUUCCUUCCUUCCUUCCUUCCUUCCUUCCUUCCUUC